AUGAUUAACAAAGCCAGGGUUGCAGGCCACAUUAAAGGGCUAAUCACUCACCUCAUCCCCGGCGGUGUGACUCACCUUCAGUACGCAGAUGACACGAUGUUGUUAUUCAAGCCGGACGACCAUAGCAUUGCCUCGAUUAGGUUACUGCUGCUAGCAUUUGAGAUAUUGUCCGGGCUUAAGAUCAAUUUUCUCAAAAGUGAAGUGAUCACCAUAGGGAUGGUUGAUGACGAAAGUAGGAGGGUGGCAAACUUGCUCAAGUGUAAGAUUGCGAAGUUUCCGAUCAAAUACCUAGGGCUACCGAUAACACACAAGAACCUAACCAUAGCCGAAUGGGCGCCCCUAUAUGGCAAAGUGGUGAAUUGGGUAAGUCCGUGGAGAGGGAGGUUUAUGUCUUCGGCCGCUAGGUUAAUUUUGACCAAUUCUAGCUUGUCCUCCCUUCCUCUCUUUACAAUGGGCAUGUUCCUCCUUGCCGAUGGAGUGCAUGCCAAGCUUGACACGCCGCGCGCCCGUUUCUUUUGGAAAGGAACUGGGAGAAACGCAAAUACCACUUGGUCAAGUGGGCUGCGGUUUGCAGACCGAAAAAGUUCGGUGGUUUGGGGAUCUCGAACUCGAAACUUAUGA
rnacentral:rRNA from 1 species